rnacentral:lncRNA from 1 species
UUUUUUUCUUUUUUUUUUUUUUUUCCAUUUCUUGGACCACUCCUGCAGCAUAUGGAAGUUCCCAGGCUAGGGGUCAAAUCGGAGCUGUAGCUGCUGGUCUACACCACAGCCACAGCUACAUGGGAUCUGAGCCCACGUCUGCAACCUAUGCUACAGCUCAUGGCAACACCAGAUCCUUAACCCACUGAGCAAGGGCAGGGAUCGAACCCGCAACCUCAUGGUUCCUAGUGGGAUUCGUUAACCACUGAGCCACGAUGGGAACUCCAUUGUUUUCUAUUUUAAUGACUACUAUUUAACUACUACUUGUCUGAGCGUCAUAAUUUAGGUGCUAACCUGAAGUUUAAAUUCAGAAUAUUAUUAAUAUAUUUAAAUGCAUUUUUAUUCUAUCCCAUAAGUUAUAAAAUGAAUCAAUGAAUCAUUAUAAUUCAUCUUGUUACCUUCUUUCCUUGAUACCUAUUCUAAUUCCUUGUUAGGGCUGAGGAUUAGAAAGUUUUUGUUUCAACAUUUGCCAUGGCUUCAUUUCACUCAUCUGCUUUGCGGAUUCCUUUUGCUUUUAGACACUUAGUUCAGAAAUGCAAAUAAACAGAAACUGUUAUAUUCAUAUUCUGUGAGUAUUCAAAAAUAGAUUAAUGGAAAAACUGAAUGAUGUCCCCUAAGAUGGUGAGCAAGGCAAGGAUACCUCUUCUCAUUUCUCACUCAGCACAGUACUGGAUACUCUAAUCACUGCAGAAAGUUAAGAAAAUGAAAUAAAGUCAUACAUAGGAAAAGCAGAAGAUAUAACAUUGUCUCUAUUUGUAAAUGCUGGGGUUAUCUACAUAGCAAUCCCAAGGAAUCCACAAAAAUACUCCUUGAAGUAACAAGUGAGUUCAGCAAAGUUGUAGGACACAAGAGCAAUACACAUUGCUCUAUACUACAAGUGUGCAAAAGCCAAAAUUAAGGAUUCAGUAUCAUUUAUAAUUGUUUCAAAUAAAUAAAAUAUUAGGUAGAAAUUUUAAAAGUACAUGAAAAUUACAAAAUGCAAUGAAAGAAAUCCCAGAAGACCUUAAUAAAUGCAGGGGUAUACUAUAUUCAUGAAUUGGAAAAUUCAGCAUAGCUUUGAUAUAAUGCUUAUAAAAAUUAUAACAAGGCUUUUUUAGACACAGCCAUGCUUGUUCUAAAAUUUGUAUGGAAAGGCAUAGGGAUUAGAAUAACUAAAACAAUCUUAGAAAAGAAUGAAGUGAGAGAAAUCACUCUAUCUGAUAUUAAGACUUAAUAAUAACUAUAGAAAUCUAGACUGUGAUAUUGAGAGGGAGGAAUAGACAUAUAAAUCUAUGAAAAAGAAAGAGAACACAGAAAAAGACCCACAAAAAUAUGCCAAACUGAUUUUUGGAAAAACUGAGAAACAAUUCAAUGAAUGAACAUAACUUUCUCAAAAAAUGGUGCUUGAGGAAUUGAACUAUGAAUAUAGGCAAAGAAAUGAAUCUCAACUUAAAACUCAUACCAAAAAUUACAUCAAAAUGGACCAUGGACUAAAAUGUAAGAUUGAAAACUAUAAAACUUUUAUAAAAAUUGAGUGAAAAUCUGGGAAUCUGAGCUAGGUGGAGAGGUAUUACACUUGCUAUCCAAGCAUGAACCAUAAAAGGAAGGUUUGGUACACCUAUCUAAUCAAAAUUUUAAAGAUUGCUCUGCAGAGGACACUGUUAAGAGGAUGAAAAAAUAAAUAAGACUAUGAAGAAAAAUUACAAACUGCAUACCUGACAAAACUGGAAUAUGAAAUAUAUUUUAAAAAAAUCUUUCAAAACUCAGCAGUAAAAACACAAACAAUUCAAUUGGGACACAGGCAAAAUCAGUGAACAAACAUUUCAAUGAAUAGGAUUUAUAGAAGGCAAUAAACACAUAAAAAGAUAUUCAAUAUCCUUAGCCAUUAGGAAAAUGCAAAUUAAAAGCUGGUGGGGAUGCAGUCAUAUAUUUCCACUUAUGCAUCUAUGGUUACAAAGUGGUACAGUCACUCUGGAAAAAAUUAUUUUUCUUGUAUAACCAAACAUACAGUUACCAUACAGCUUAGCUAGUGCACUCUUAGGCAUUUAUCCUAGAGAAAUAAAAACUUACAUUUGCACCAAAAUAUUUAUAGAAAUGUUUACAGCCACUUAAUUUGUAAUAUCUCCAAAUUGGAAACAAGAUUCAUUUUCAAUGGGUGAAGGGUUAAACAGACUGUGUUACAUCCAUAUAAUGGAAUACUAUUCUGUAAUGAAAAUGAAUAAUAUAGUGAUGGAUACAACAAAUUGAACGAAUGUCCAGGGAAUAAUAUUGGUGCAAAAGGCCAACUCUCAAAAGUUACAUCAUGUGUGAUUCCUUUUAUAAAAAAGUAAUUGAUACCAAUUUAGAAAUUUAGAGCAGAUUAGUGCUUCCCAGAACUUAGGACCAGGAGGAGGGAAGAGAGUGGGGCAGGCAGGAGGUGGACAGGGUUAUGCAAGGACAAUAGAAGGGAUCCUUGUGACAAUGGAACUGUUCUCAAUGUGUUCUUAAAUGUGGUGGUGGAUACAUUAUGCUAUAGAUAUAAAAUUGUAUAGAACUAAGUACACACUCAUGCACCCAUAUACACAUAACAGUAAAACUGUGGAAAUUCGAAUAAGGCUGGCAUAUUAAAAUCAAUACUUGUUUUAUGUUGUACUGCAGUGUUGCAAGAUGGUACUAUUUGAGGAAACUAGGUAAAUGGUGCACAGGAUAUCUCUGUAUUAUUUCUUACAACUCCUUAUACUUCUAAAAUCAAUAUCAUUAGCCAUUAGGAAAAUGCAAAUUAAAAGCUGGUGGGGAUGCAGUCAUAUAUUUCCACUUAUGCCUCUAUGGUUACAAAGUGGUACAGUCACUCUGGAAAAAAUUAUUUUUAUCAUUGUAGAAGUAUAAGGAGUUGUAAGAAAUAAAAAGUAUGAUUAAAAAGUUACAGAAAGAAAAAACUUAACUUUUUAAGAAGUUUAAUUUUUUUAUGAGUUAAGAAAUAAUAGUCCCAGAAACAACAACAGUAAGAAAACAGAUUAAUGAUAUGCUAGAUACAAUUUUGAACUCCUGAAUAUAAUAAUAAAAAUAUUGACUUAUGGUCCUUUUUGUUUAUAAAGCAUUUAUAUACAGAAUUUCAUUUUAAUUUUUAUAACAGCUCUAAAAAGUUGUAUGGAUUUUUUUCAUUAAAACAGAACACUGGAGAGCUUAAGGUCAAGAAUCUUUUUGGUCCAAAACCAAAAUGUAAGAGCUGAGAUUUAAUCCUCAGAAUUUCGGUACAUAUAUUCUGCCUAGAAUAAAAGGGAGGUUUUUCCACUUCAAAUUUAAUUGCUUUUAAACCAAGAGGAUAGACAUUAAAAAUAAAUUGAAAUCUAUGAAAUACAGUAACUACUAAAUAAAUUUAGAUAUGAAGGUCCUCCUACAAAAAGUAUAUAUUAAGUUCCUUUUACAAAGACAUCAGAUAUCUAUUACAUUUUAUGUUGAUGUUGUAAGCAAGCCAAAAAAUAAGUACAGAGUGACUUAAAUUAUAAGGUACUCUAGGUAAAGAAAGUUAACUUCAACAAAAAUAUCUUUCUACCAUUCUCCCUUUAUUUUUAAAAUUCUAUUUAUUUUUUUGAUUAUAACACUGAAGUGCCUUCCAAGAAAAUAAUGUACUCAGAAGUGUUACCUAUCUCUUAUGUAUUUAUCACAUAGGAAGGGUAAUAGGACAAACCAGCAAUUAAUGAAUAUUCUCAGAAGGAUUUUGUGAUACAAAAAAUGUAGGAUCUUAAAUAAAUGAUUCAUAGGACUGAUGAGUUUGCUUUAAAGAAGGAUCUAAAACAUGUCCUAGAUCAGAAAGCAGAAGUGGAAUGGAUCAAUGUGAAGACUUCAGAUCUUUGAUCCUCAAAAUGUUUUCCUAAACUCUAAAGUUCUAGGUCUUGGAAUGGAUUAGCAAUGAGAUCCUGCUGUGUAGCACUGGAAACUAUGUCUGGUCACUUAUGAUGGAGCAUGAUAAUGUGAGCAAAAAGAAUGUAUACAUGUAUGUGUAACUGGGUCACCAUGCUGUACAGCAGAAAAAAAAAAUGUAUUGGAGAAAUAAAAAAAAAAAAACAGUAAAAAAAUAAAAUUCUAGGUCAUUCAUUUGAUCCAAUAGGUAAAUAAAGAAAAAUUCCCUAGAAUUUCAUUUGUACUAUGAAGGGUAACGUUUUGUUUGGUUUUGUUUUUUGCUUUUUAGGGCCACACCCACAGCAUGCGGAAGUUCCCAGGCUAGGAGUUAAGUCAGAACUAUGGCUGCUGGCCUACGCCACAGCCAUGGCAACACGAGAUCCUUAACCCACUGAAUGAGGCCAGGGAUUGAACCCAAAUCCUCAUGACUGUCAGUUGGAUUUGUUUCCCUUGAGCCACAGCAAAGGGAACUCCCAGGUAAUGUAUUUUUAAAGGCAAUUAAGAGAGACAUGUUUACCUCAGGAAGAUAAUUACUGGUCUUCGGGAUAGGAUUAUUAAAUUAUUUUGCAGAGUUCCUACUAUGGACACUCACAGAUCAUGGGAAUUAAUGUUUUUCUGGAUGCACACAGUGGUGUCAUGCAUGGAUCACUUUAAUUUUCAGUUGAUUAGGGUCCUUUAUUUCUUACAAACAUAUGUUUGUGUGUGUGUGUGGUGUGUUACAGUGAGCUUAGCUUCUUCAUUAUCAGUUUAAUUUACUAUGAAUUGCUGUUUAUAUGUCGAAGGAGAGUAAGAACUAUCUAUUUUUUGCUUUAUAGUAAUCAAAAUUUAAGAUGUAUACAUUGUAAUUAAAAUAUGAAUCUUUUCAUAUCUGCUGCUAAGGCAAAUAGAUAACACCAUCUCUUCCUUCCUCUGAAUUUGAGUCAUUUAAUUUAAAAUAUACUAUAAAAAUAAGUAAAAUAAAAUUAUUGAGUUACUUUAAAAAUGUUUAUAGGAUAUUACCUCACGAGAAAUAAAAAUCAUGUAUAUAAGCCCAAAUUCUUCCCUUGUAAACUGAGUUAUUACUAAGUAAAUAAACAAACAAAACAUUGGAAUACAUUGUAAGGAAAAAGUUUGUUGCAACCUAUUUAUUUUAUCCUUCUUUUUACUGGAAAACAACAUGUGGGGCAGGCAGAUCUCAGGA